CAAAGGAGCGAUCCGGUGACGGAUGGGCAUGCGCCGCAUUAGUUAGUUGGCGGUGUAACGGACCACCAAGACGACGAUGCGUAGGGGUUCUGAGAGGAAGGUCCCCCACACUGGUACUGAGACACGGACCAGACUCCUACGGGAGGCAGCAGUGAGGAAUAUUGGUCAAUGGGCGAGAGCCUGAACCAGCCAAGUCGCGUGAGGGAAGACGGUCCUAUGGAUUGUAAACCUCUUUUGCCGGGGAGCAAAAGGCGGUACGCGUACCGCAUCGAGAGUACCCGGAGAAAAAGCAUCGGCUAACUCCGUGCCAGCAGCCGCGGUAAUACGGAGGAUGCGAGCGUUAUCCGGAUUUAUUGGGUUUAAAGGGUGCGCAGGCGGCGAGUUAAGUCAGCGGUAAAAUUUCGGGGCUCAACCCCGACAAGCCGUUGAAACUGGCUUGCUAGAGUGGGCGAGAAGUAUGCGGAAUGCGUGGUGUAGCGGUGAAAUGCAUAGAUAUCACGCAGAACUCCGAUUGCGAAGGCAGCAUACCGGCGCCCAACUGACGCUCAGGCACGAAAGCGUGGGUAUCGAACAGGAUUAGAUACCCUGGUAGUCCACGCAGUAAACGAUGAGCACUAAUUGUCCGGUCCGAAUGAGGGCUGG
rnacentral:rRNA from 1 species